rnacentral:rRNA from 1 species
UACGGAGGGUGCGAGCGUUGUCCGGAAUCAUUGGGCGUAAAGGGCGCGUAGGUGGCCCGGUCAGUUCGUGGUGAAAGCGCGGGGCUCAACCCUGCGUCGGCCAUGAAUACUGCCGCGGCUGGAGCACUGUAGAGGCAGGCGGAAUUCCGGGGUGUAGCGGUGGAAUGCGUAGAGAUCCGGAAGAACACCGGUGGCGAAGGCGGCCUGCUGGGCCAGUU